UGCUAAUUAACCAUGAACAUUGGAGCUCAAAUCAAACCAACUAGUAUUGUAACCAACUAAGAAGAGCAUCCAAUAAAUGAGAAACGAUCAAAGAAGAAGCACAAACCAAAGAGAUGAACAAUCAGACGGAAGAAUGAAAUCAAACCCGACGAAAUCAAACCAAAUCAGGCCAAUGGAAACCAAAAAUAUAAACUAAGAGAUAAGCAACCAAACAGAGAGAGAGGGAGUCAAUCAAACAUAAUGGUCUAGAGCGAGGGGAAAGGCAACCAAAAAGAAGAGCGAAUAGAGAAAAGCAACCAAACAUAACAAUUAACAGGAGAUAAUCAAUCAAACAGAAGAAAAGGAAACAUAAAUUUGCUGCAUGUCGGAGAGUUGUUGUGGUGAUGUUGCUGUGGAAGCUUUGGUUACAGUAUGCCGUGCUGUUUCUCAACUUGAAAUGGGGAGCUUGGCCGUUGCAAGCUUCGGAACAAAAGGAAACAUAAAUUUGCUGCAUGAUUUUGAUAGCCCAUUCACUGCAGAAGCCGGGUUAAGAUGGUCUCCAAUUUGAUGUUCAAGCAAGAGAAUACUAUUGCCGAUGAAUCAGUUGUUGAUCUGUUGAACUAUUAGACGAUGUUGUUGUAAAAGCACGACUUCCAUCCGGCCAUAACCCCCUACAGCAACUUGUUUUAAUGAUUGCAGACGGUCAUUUUCAUGAAAAGGAUAACUUAAAGCGGUGUGUUAGAGAAGCAUUAGCCAGUAACCGGAUGGUUGCGUUCUUGCUUCUUGAUAACUCUCAGGAGUCAAUAAUGGUUC